ensembl:misc_RNA Metazoa_SRP Metazoan signal recognition particle RNA
GCCAGGCAUGGUGGUGCAUGCCUGUAGUCCCAGCUACUUGGGAGGCUGAGGUGGUAGGAUUGCUUGAGCCUAGGAGUUCAGAGACUGCAGUGAGCUAUGAUUGCACCACAGCACUCCAGCCUGGGCAACAGAGCAGAACCUUAUCUCCA